rnacentral:rRNA from 1 species
UACGUAGGGGGCUAGCGUUGUCCGGAAUCAUUGGGCGUAAAGAGCUCGUAGGCGGCUCGUUGCGUCGGCUGUGAAAACCCGCAGCUCAACUGUGGGCCUGCAGCCGAUACGGGCGGGCUAGGAUUCGGUAGGGGAGACUGGAAUUCCAGGUGUAGCGGUGAAAUGCGUAGAUAUCUGGAGGAAUACCGGUGGCGAAGGCGGCAUCCUGGACCGGCAUUGACGCUGAUACAGCGAAAGCUAGGGGAGCAAACGGG